GACUUUCGUUGAGCCAAGAUGGUUUCUAACCCAAGAAAUUAACUAAAAUAGACCGAGAGGCCUGGUUCUUUAAGAAAUCUGAUACGAAAAUUGUAGUUUAGUCCCUAAUCUUUUGAAUAACUUCACUAUGGUCCUAAAAAUUUGAAUUUCUUUCAAUUAGGUUUCUAAUUUAAUUGCAAUUUGAUUCCUGGACUUUAUCUUUUGUUAAUUUUGAUCCCUAAUGUUUUAAAAAUUAUAAUUUGACCCUAAAAAUUUUCUUAAUUGUGCAAUUAGGUCCCUAACAAUUUGGAUUUCUUAAGCAUAAUUUGUCUAUCUUCUUUUAUUGUUAAUUAUACUUCAUUUAAAUACUUUUAAUUGGUAAAUUUCAUGGUUAUUUCCAUUUCCUUAUAAUAAUAGAGUGAAUUUGCCAUAUGUUUACAUUUUAUUCUCUUUAUUUGUUAAUUAAAUUGGUGUAUUGACUAUUUUGUUGAAUUUGGAGUAUAAAUGAGACCAAUCCAACAUCAUUUAACCAUUACUUCAAGGGAGGUAUCUUCUAGUAUCAUUUUAAAUUCUCUUAUGUGCUCUUAUGUGCCUUUUAUGUGUGGUUGCAUGUUUUGAGUGUUUUUUCUUAUAUUUACUCAUUUUUUAUUCAUUUUUAAAAUUUUCAUUUAUUAUAUUUAAUUUUUUAUGAUUAUUUGGAGGGCAUUUAAAUGCCAAAUUGUAAUAGAUAGGUAUUCAAGAAAUGUAUUUAAUUAGACUAUGUAAUAGGUGAUUUUUUUUAAUUUUUGACAAAAAAUGUAAGUAGUUAGAUGAAUGUAAUAGUUAGGUUAACAUUUUUCAAAUUUUCCUCUUAGAUUGUACUUAGGGCCCCGAAUGUAAUAGUUUGGGUCUUUAUGUGGGUUUAUUUGCUUGUGUGCUUGCAUACUUGUGUGCUUAUGUGUUAAUUCUUUUUUUUUUUUAGGGUUUUGCAUCAAAACAUCAUACUUAUGUGUUAUGUGCUCUAUAUGAUUUAUGUGUUUACUUGAUUUAAUUAUGCUUUAUUUAUUUAUAAUAAAUGCAUGACAUCACCACACUAAUCCAAUAUUAGUUAUACUUUAUAUGUUCUCUAUGUGCAUCUAGUUGUGGACUAAUCCAAUGCUUCUGUGUUAUGUGCUUAUGUAAUUUGCACCAAUUAAAUUUUAAAGACAUUUCGACCCUCCCAAUACCCCCUUGGGUAUAGAUUCAUAUCCAUAUAAAAACAUACUAAUUUGAUAAGUUUUAUAGGUUUGAUUAGGAAAAUUUUUGACUAAAUCUCGCAACUAAUCUUAGUUAGAUUAAAAGGGUGCCUUAGGUUUGAACCUAUCAAAUCUUUACCUUCCCUUUUUUCAAUCAUGACUCCCGAACCCCGUUCUCUUAUUUUCAAAGAUCUGAAAUCGCCUGAAAGGAAUUUUAUUUAUUUAUUUAUUUUAGGUGAUUUGGUACACAUAAAUUCAAUAUCUAUCAAAUGGUGACUCCUAUUUGUUCUUAAACAAAAUCCUUUUUAGACUAUUAUUUUGGGGCAAAACUGUUGCAUAUUUUAAGUUCCAUUUUAGGUCCUUCUUUGUUUAUUUUCUAAAAAUGAAAAAAACUCUUUUUUUUCAACUCUAAAUUUAUUAUUUUUCAAAAAAAAUGGGGCGCGACAGUGUCGCCUGGCCAUCAACCUAAUGGCUGAUAGUUACAAUCAUUAGCCUCAAAGCUAAAGGCAAUGUGGCACUGUACCUACCUAGCUGGUCACGGAUCAAAUCUAGCUAGUUAGAUUUCGGUGGGGAAGGAAUUAGGGGAACAGUAAAAAAAAAAAAAAAAA
rnacentral:lncRNA from 1 species